UUUUUUUUUUUGCUUACAGUAGAACAACUUCUCUUUUCUUCCAGUUUGGAAAAGUUCCAUCUUCCUUGUCAAGUCCAUGACCACCCUACCCAGCUGGGCUUCUUCAGACACUAUCCUAUAAGGAUCUGUACUCGAUAGGAGGUAGGCUCAACAGCAGCCACAGCUCCUGGUCAUCUCUGUCCUCUUCAUGCUUGACGAGAAAAGGAUUGUGGGCCCAUCUGUUCAUGAAAGUGACAUUCUGCUGCAAUCUGAGGAUAGGCAGAAUAGAAGAAGUAACGAACGAUACAAAGAGACUAAAGGUAGCAGGUUAGUUUCUGACAGGUCAUUGAAAAAUGGCUGAAUAAUAACUGGAGAAUUUCCAAGAUACUUAAAAAUUAUGAUGGAAGGGGAAAAAUUAACUCCAGGCAUGUAAUGCAAAAAAGUUUCCUGAGGUAAUGUGUCAGCUUGAUUGAGAAUUGUUUCAACACUACAAAGAAUUUCAAUUUUAUGCCGCUUUGCUUAAAAAAUAUCCACCUAUAUACAAUAAUUUAAAAGCCUGUACUAACAUUCCUGUAGUAUGUAGUCCAGUUCAAAAAGCAUCAUGUACAUCACUGUUCCAGUCUAUAGAAUGUUAACAGUGCAGCACUUGCAAUUCAAAUACAAUCUCUAUCACUGUAAUGGGGACCCCUCUGCUUCAGAUAUUAUCUUGAUGUUGUUCUUCUUUAAUACUAAUCCAGAGACCAUCAGAAGACUCUUCUCAUCUCACAUGUGUUCUUAAUGGAGGAUUUUUGGAGGGAUCUGUAAAUAGAUAGGAGAUGUUUAAUCAGAGGAGAUGAUAGAUAGAUACAUUUUUGGGGUAUGUAUUUUGGAUGCAGUUCUACAGCAUUUAUCUCCUACCCUUGAAGUGAUACAUAUAUAUAUACACAUAUAUUGCUCAUGCUCUGUAGCCCUUCAGUAAAAAGUCUCUGAUCAGAUCAUACAGCAGACAAUUUAGACUGACAGAAGCUGCUAUGAAAAGUCAUACAAAGUACCUUGACAUGGAAACAAAAAAACUCCGAACCUUAAAGUUGAAGAUAAAUAGUUAGAACUAAUAAUACAGAAAAGACAGGGGUUUGCAAAAAGCAGGAUAUGGACAUGAGAUCUUUCAGCACCUUUAACUACCAGUUUUCAAAGCUGGAUAGGUGAACUUCUGCUGUUACCACAGUGACCUGAUACCCAGUUUUUAAGUUAAGGGGGGAAGCAGGUUCAGUCAUUCAUUACUUUCCUCACAAGGCUCAGGUACUAAGUCCCUUUGUUACUCAGGUAUGUCAAACACUGUGUAGGAUUUAACUCAAAACACAUGAUGGAAGACACUGAUCAAGUCACCUUUCUUUUGUGAUUUUACAAGUUCAUGAACAAAAAACCCCAACUGAGUAGCUGCCUAAGUCUGCUUACGUGACACCACCGUUUUUAACAUUAAGGGCUCUGCAAAUUCAGCACUCCACAGAACACAGCCUGCAUGCCAAGCCACAUCAUUUUAUUUUUAGCUACUAAGACUUUAAUUAAUUAAGUGCUUUUCAUUAUAUCUUUGGUCCCUGUUACCACUGUAACAUCACAUUCCUCUCUGUUCCUAUGCUAGCAGCCCAGUUCUUCACGUUAAUGCUGCUUUCUGUUCUUUAUUUUCACUCCC
rnacentral:lncRNA from 1 species